rnacentral:rRNA from 1 species
CAAGUCGAGCGAGGCGGGGAGCAAUCCCCAGUCGAGCGGCGAACGGGUGAGUAACGCGUGGAUGACCUGCCUUGAGGUGGGGGAUAACUCGGGGAAACUCGAGCUAAUACCGCAUAUGACCGUGAGGUCAAAGGGGGCCGCAAGGCUUCCGCCAUGAGAGGGGUCCGCGUCCGAUUAGCUAGUUGGUAGGGUAAUGGCCUACCAAGGCGACGAUCGGUAGCCGGCCUGAGAGGGUGAUCGGCCACACUGGAACUGAGACACGGUCCAGACUCCUACGGGAGGCAGCAGUGGGGAAUUUUGCGCAAUGGGCUAACGCCUGACGCAGCAACGCCGCGUGGAGGAUGAAGGUCUUUGGAUUGUAAACUCCUGUCAGCAGGGAAAAAGGGACUGGACCUAAUACGUCUGGAACUUGAUUGUACCUGCAGAGGAAGCCCCGGCUAACUCUGUGCCAGCAGCCGCGGUAAUACAGAGGGGGCAAGCGUUAUUCGGAAUUAUUGGGCGUAAAGGGCGCGUAGGCGGCUAUUCAAGUGGCGGGUGAAAUCCCUCGGCUUAACCGAGGAACUGCCUGCCAGACUGGAUGGCUUGAGACCGGGAGAGGUGAGUGGAAUUCCCAGUGUAGCGGUGAAAUGCGUAGAUAUUGGGAGGAACACCAGUGGCGAAGGCGGCUCACUGGACCGGUACUGACGCUGAGGCGCGAAAGCGUGGGGAGCAAACAGGAUUAGAUACCCUGGUAGUCCACGCCGUAAACGAUGAGUGCUUGGUGUAGCGGGUAUCGACCCCUGCUGUGCCGACGUCAACACAUUAAGCACUCC